rnacentral:rRNA from 1 species
GAUGAACGCUAGCGGGAGGCUUAACACAUGCAAGUCGAGGGGUAAAUGGUAGCAAUACUAUGAGACCGGCGGACGGGUGCGUAACGCGUAUGCAACAUACCUUGUGCAGGGGGAUAGCCCGUGGAAACGCGGAUUAAUAUUCCAUAGUCCAGCUAUAUCGCAUGGUAUAGUUGGUAAAGAUUUAUCGGCACAAGUUUGGCAUGCGUCUGAUUAGCUUGUUGGUAGGGUAACGGCCUACCAAGGCUACGAUCAGUAGGGGUUCUGAGAGGAUUAACCCCCCACACUGGUACUGAGACACGGACCAGACUCCUACGGGAGGCAGCAGUGAGGAAUAUUGGUCAAUGGGCGGAAGCCUGAACCAGCCAUCCCGCGUGAAGGAAGACAGCCUUACGGGUUGUAAACUUCUUUUCUGUCAGAAGAAUAAGCUUGUCGAGACGAGUGAUGCCGGUAUGACAGGAAUAAGCAUCGGCUAACUCCGUGCCAGCAGCCGCGGUAAA